GGGAUGUGACUUUCUCACUCCAUGUCCUAUUGUUUACGGCUUUUCUGGGUGGAGCCAAGGGAAGAUCUGUUGUUUUGCCCUCGGGAUUAUACUCGUGGGGGUACUGAUCAUUCUGUUAACCGUGCUUUCUAUCCUGAAUAAGUAAAGUCGAGUAAAGGCCGUCACUAACCGAGAGUUAACCAUCUGUUUACUCUCACAAUCGAUUAACCUUGAAGUAUUAGGGUGACACAUUAAUGAGUAAUGUAAUGCAUGUGAAUCAUCUUAAGAAUAUAUAAUUACAGCUGGAUAUUAAUGUAUUGCUGUAGUGAAGUUUAUUGGAUAAUACAGAUGUUAAAGUUUGUAAUCUUUCGAUCACUAAUCUUUUAUGGGAAGAGAAAUAAAGAAUGCUGUAACCACCUUCUCCAGUCCACUUGUGCCGACAGGGAGGAGGUUCACUUGUGCUGUAAGGUUGUUUGUUUCCUUCAGCAGUUGGGUUUUUAAAUAAACUGUAGGCAUUGCUGCCUGUACACUUUCA